rnacentral:rRNA from 1 species
GACGAACGCUGGCGGCGUGCCUAAUACAUGCAAGUAGAACGCUGAAGGAGGAGCUUGCUUCUCUGGAUGAGUUGCGAACGGGUGAGUAACGCGUAGGUAACCUGCCUGGUAGCGGGGGAUAACUAUUGGAAACGAUAGCUAAUACCGCAUAAUAGUAGAUGUUGCAUGACAUUUGCUUAAAAGGUGCAAUUGCAUCACUACCAGAUGGACCUGCGUUGUAUUAGCUAGUUGGUGGGGUAACGGCUCACCAAGGCGACGAUACAUAGCCGACCUGAGAGGGUGAUCGGCCACACUGGGACUGAGACACGGCCCAGACUCCUACGGGAGGCAGCAGUAGGGAAUCUUCGGCAAUGGACGGAAGUCUGACCGAGCAACGCCGCGUGAGUGAAGAAGGUUUUCGGAUCGUAAAGCUCUGUUGUAUGAGAAGAACGAGUGUGAGAGUGGAAAGUUCACACUGUGACGGUAUCUUACCAGAAAGGGACGGCUAACUACGUG